CACUGAAAAGAGCAGAUGCAGAGAUUUUCUAGAUAAACAAAUCACCCAAGCCCUGCCACUCCAGCCCCCCUCCCCUCCCCCCACCCCCAGUUCAGCUCUCUUCUUUGCACCUUAUAGUUCAAGCUAAAAGCAGUUGCAAGUGGAAAGUGUAGGGCUGUGUCUUCUUACAUGUCCUGGAUCCUCCUUUAACUGUGAAAAUGUUCAAAGUGAAAACUUGACCUGGCAACAGUUUCUGAAUGACCUCGCUUUGGCUGUGAAAUCCACUUGAGCUUUGCAGGAGCAGAUUUUUACAGUCUUCUCUGGUAGAGGAACAAAAAGACUUAUUAUUAUUAUUAUUAUUUUUCUUCAAGAGGAAACUUUAUACAGGCCGUGUGUUAUGCUUUCUCCCAGCGCUCAAGGUCAAAUAAGCACUUCUCUUCUCACUAUUCCCUGCUCACUUUCUAUCACCCAAAAAAUAAAUUCCAUCCCCUCCUCUGUUGCUGCAGACAAUCCACAACAUCAAGAAGAAGCGACAGGAGUGUAAGCAGGAAGCCUGACGCUUCAGCCAUUGCAGCCGCACAUGAUACAAAAGGUGAAGCUCCGUCUUCCUAGUCUUCUCCCCUUCUACUGUAGAGGAGAACCACUGUUUGAAAGAAGUAAGAUUGCAGUAGUGAAAGUUUGGUGUAUUUUCCACAUUUCUGGAGCUGACUUCUGCGGGUGGACGAAGGACGUGCCAACAGCAAGAGUGUCUAUAGCUCAGUGUUUUGAAAUGGUAAGGCAUGCUGAUCAAGGAUAUCUCUACCAAUUUUAACUAACCAGUGUGGCCUGCUCAGGCCAAUAUUAUGGACAGCAACAAACAAGAGGACACUUUGUCUCAUCAGUCUCAUGGAUAUAACUUUCUGCUUACAGCUGUAUUUGGCUAAGGCCUGUAGGUGGUUAUGGACUUUGACUCAGUGGCUGGGCUUGGAUGGGAGCCUUCUGGCUUACAAUCCUGUGCUCCAACCAUCUAAUCUCUCAGCCCAAAGGAAAUUGCGGUGUCCCUGUGGACCCUUGGUAAGACACCACAGCUUUGUUUGUUAAGUGCUUCGCUUUUGACUGGGGGGGGAGGGGGGGAGGUAUUUGAAGGUUUCACAGAUGGUAUUCAAUGACUCUGUUCCCUUUUUCUACCUGGAGGCUGCCAAAGGACGGCAGCAAAGAGACUGAUGUUAGAGGGACAUCAGGGUGUGAGUAAAGGGGCACAUGCAACAGGAAAAGCGCUGCAAUAGCUGUUGCUGUGGCAGAAAAGCAUUCUGUCCUGGAAAGCCAACGGUAUGGAAUCCAGUCUUUUCUGCAGUUUGGUGCUGAUAAAAAUGCUGCACUGGCAUCUCUGCAAUAUGAUACUCCAAAGCAAGAAUAUGGUUUGUUAUUACAUCUGUGGCCUGUAGGGCUUUGUGGUGGUGGAGGAGACAUCCUCAGCUAUGGCUGAAUGUUAAGUUUCCGUGCCCCUUCUGUCCUAGGAUGGCAGUCAGCAAUAAUUACUUCAGUGGUUUCUACCCUGCAAUUCUUAGCCUCUAGGGACUAUGCACAGAUCCAGAAAUUCAUUCCAUGCAAGCCCCUUCUAACGGGAUGAUGACUUCUAGUCUCUGCUGGGCUUGAUCUAGAUUCACAUGGGAAAGCUAGAGAAGAAAUGCCAGUUCUCUGGUGCAGCCAGUGCCAGGCCAGAUUUCUGUAACGAGCAUCUGCAUUUGGAAACAGUCCUGAACUGACAGGAAAGAAACAUAAUACUCAAUCUGAGACGUAUGUUUUAAUGUACUACCAGCCCCAAGAUCUAG
rnacentral:lncRNA from 1 species